rnacentral:rRNA from 1 species
UACAGAGGCCCCAAGCGUUGUUCGGAUUCACUGGGCGUAAAGGGUGCGUAGGUGGCUUGGAAAGUUUGAUGUGAAAGCUCAGGGCUUAACCCUGAAAUGGCAUUGAAUACUAUCGAGCUGGAGGUUUGGAGGGGGGACUGGAAUUCUCGGUGUAGCAGUGAAAUGCGUAGAUAUCGAGAGGAACACCAGUGGCGAAGGCGAGUCCCUGGACAACACCUGACACUGAGGCACGAAAGCCGGGGGAGCAAAC